CCCGCGCGUUACCCGUACGAUAUAUUAUCACAAACACAAUAAUAUUAUUGUACCUGGCGUCCCGAGUUCCGACGUCGUCGCAUUGUUGUGCAAAUCGCGCGUUAUUUAAACGUUUUCCCGCCGCGCGCGAGUGUUGCGUGAUAUUUCCUUCUCCGUCCACGAAAACGGCGCGCGGCGUUUGAAUUCGGACAAAAUCUCGCGUUUCGCAUAACCGCACCGGGCGUAUACGAUAUUUUGAUAAUCGCGUUUCUUUUAUUUUUUUCACGGCGUUUACGAUAGUUACAAGAGAAAUAAAUACGAAAUAAAUUGAAAAUUUCAAAACAUAAUUAUCGGAUAUACUUAUUACGUUCGCAUUGCGUCACGAUUGUAAUAAAAUAGAUAAUUUCCAACCAUCAUAUUCUGAUAAUCGGGUAAACAAAUUGAUUGCGAACCGUUGAAACGAUUUUAUAUUUGUUUUUUCGUUGAAAAAUGUGAAAUCGAAAUAUUAAAAUACUAAAUAAUAGUUACCUAAAUAAAUACAGAUCCAGAGGAGGCGAUCGCCCCUAUCGCACCUGAAAUCUUACAUUGGUGACCGAAAUAGUGUACUGGCCGAAAAGGGUACCGUCCCCCCGUACCCACCUAUAAUGUGACCUUGUGAUAUAGUACGUUUUUCCUGCGUAUCGGGCGGGCUUUGAGAAACUCGUACGAAUGUAAUAAUAUUGUGCGCACGUUAAAAUCGAAACAAAUCGGGAAAGAGCUUUUCUACACAACGAAGAAAUCCGAAAUUUCGAUUCGAGUGGAGAAAUUCGAAACUUCCAUCCCGGGUUAAGAUUGUAGUCAUUAUCUAUAUGGUUUUUUUUUUUCGAGGUUGAAGUUUUGAACGUGCGAACCAGAGUUUUUACUCUGAGGUACAAUAAGAGACAUACAAUUGCUAACACAAACUUAAAUGGAAUGUGCGACUACAAAGUAAUAUUAUUAUGGAUCGUGCGAUUUUUAACACGGGUUGAAUAGGAUACAGUAUCGAAAAUCGUACGGUUCAUUGGAACAUGCCAGUUUGACCCGUUAGGGCCCUUUUGUUGAAUGUACACCGGUUUUCGGGCGUUUCGGAAUGAAUUAUUUGCCGAAUCGGAUUCACCUUGAAAAAUUCUGUAACAAAGUGCAGCUAACUUAAAUUUUUUUUUUUUUUGGACCAUAUGAUGAGUUUUUGAUUCUACCCAAUUCAUAAUUAGUUCGGAUCAGGAUUCGUAUCGUUUCAUAUGUAUAUAGAAACGGCGCUCUCCCUUGUAGCGAUAUACGUCGUCAGUUGAUUAUCAGAUUAUAUAUAGGUAUGUACUUUUUUUAAAAUUUUAUACUCGUAAUGAAAUUGUUGUUUUUUCGGCUUUUAAAAUGAAGUCGUUAUAUGUAUAUAUAUAUAUAUAUAUUGCUUAAAAGCUCGUAAUAGUAGAUUUUUUUAGUGAAAAUCGGAGAGUCAACAAACUCGUUGACAAUGCG